rnacentral:rRNA from 1 species
AUUGAACGCUGGCGGCAGGCCUAACACAUGCAAGUCGAACGGUAACAGGAAUCAGCUUGCUGAUUUGCUGACGAGUGGCGGACGGGUGUGUAAUGUCUGGGACACUGCUUUAUGGCGGGGGAUAACUCCUGGAAACGGUAGCUAAUACCGCAUAACGUCGCAAGCCCAAAGAGGGGGAGCUUCGGGCCUCUUGCCAUCUGCUGUGCCCAGAUGGGAUUAGCUAGUAGGUGGGGUAAAGGCUCACGUAGGCGACGAUCCAUAGCUGGUCUGAGAGGGUGACCAGCCACACUGGAACUGAGACACGGUCCAGACUCCUACGGGAGGCAGCAGUGGGGAAUAUUGCGCAAUGGGCGAAAGCCUGAUGCAGCAAUGCCGCGUGUAUGAAGAAGGCCUUCGGGUUGUAAAGUACUGUCAGCGGGGAGGAAGGGAGGAAAGUGAAAACGUGUGCACAUUGACGGUACCCGAAGAAGAAGCAACGGCUAACUCCGUG